rnacentral:tRNA from 1 species
CUUUUAUCAGGCAUCUUAUU